GGCGAAGUUCAGCUGAAAAGUCAUCUGAAUGUAAAGGAGUUUCCGAUGGGUUUGAUGAUGGAAGGAAGAGAAAGCGAAUUGAUGAUAAUGUAGCAAAUACCAUGAAAGUUGCCAAGUCCUUUGCUGGUUCUUCUUUGAAUGGGGAAUUUAACGAGGGAAACCCUUCUGCUGGUGUUUUUGUGGGAGGUGUCUUUGCUAGUGCAAAUUUGAUAGGGGAGCCAAAGGAAGAAAAAGAAGAGAGUAAUAGAACAGAUGGCAUUAACAAUAUAAAAAGCUUAGCAGGGAAUCUUGUUCAAAAUGGGGAGCUUAAUUCUCAAACUAAAGAUUUGUCUGCCACCAAUGAUGCUCCUUUCUCUAAGGAGGCUGAGAAGCUGGCAAUUGAGAAAAUAAUGUCUGGUCCUUAUGUUACUAACCAAACUUUACUGCAAGAGCUUGAUGAGCUUGAAGAUGAUUUUGAAUAUAGAAAUCAGAUCAAAGAGUCAAAGAUUCAGGAGUAAAUGCAAAAGACAGUUCAGUGGAAUCUACAUCAGCAAAUACAACAGCAACAUCGUUGGCUAAUGUACCUGUAUCUCCACCAGUAACAUCCAGCUAUGGAGCUGGUCCAUCUACUUCAUGUCCUAGUGGCGACUUGGAGGAACUUGAGCCUGC
rnacentral:misc_RNA from 1 species